rnacentral:rRNA from 1 species
CCUAUAAGACUGGAAUAACUCCGGGAAACCGGGGCUAAUGCCGGAUAACAUGUUGAACCGCAUGGUUCUACAGUGAAAGACGGUCUUGCUGUCACUUAUAGAUGGACCCGCGCCGUAUUAGCUAGUUGGUGGGGUAACGGCCUACCAAGGCGACGAUACGUAGCCGACCUGAGAGGGUGAUCGGCCACACUGGAACUGAGACACGGUCCAGACUCCUACGGGAGGCAGCAGUAGGGAAUCUUCCGCAAUGGGCGAAAGCCUGACGGAGCAACGCCGCGU